CGGCGAGUGAAGCGGCAACAGCUCAAAUUUGAAAUCUGGCCUCGGCCCGAGUUGUAAUUUGCAGAGGAUGCUUCUGGCGCGGUGCCUUCCGAGUUCCCUGGAACGGGACGCCACAGAGGGUGAGAGCCCCGUAUGGUCGGACACCAAGCCUGUGUGAAGCUCCUUCGACGAGUCGAGUAGUUUGGGAAUGCUGCUCUAAAUGGGAGGUAAAUCUCUUCUAAAGCUAAAUACCGGCCAGAGACCGAUAGCGCACAAGUAGAGUGAUCGAAAGAUGAAAAGCACCUUGAAAAGGGGGUUAAAUAGUACGUGAAAUUGUUGAAAGGGAAGCACUUAUGACCAGACUUGGGCCGGGCGGCUCAUCAGGGGUUCUCCCCUGUGCACUCCGCCCGGCACAGGCCAGCAUCGGUUCUCGUGGGGGGAUAAGACCGUCAGGAACGUAGCACCCUCCGGGGUGUGUUAUAGCCUGGCGGACGAUACCCCCGUGGGGACCGAGGUCCGCGCUCCGCAAGGAUGCUGGCGUAAUGGUCAUCA
rnacentral:rRNA from 1 species